UCGAGCGGACUGAUGGGAGCUUGUCCCUGAAGUUAGCGGCGGACGGGUGAGUAACACGUGGGUAACCUGCCUGUAAGACUGGGAUAACUCCGGGAAACCGGGGCUAAUACCGGAUAUUCUUUUUUCUCCGCAUGGAGAAAGAUGGAAAGGCGGCUUCGGCUGUCACUUACAGAUGGACCCGCGGCGCAUUAGCUAGUUGGUGGGGUAAUGGCCCACCAAGGCGACGAUGCGUAGCCGACCUGAGAGGGUGAUCGGCCACACUGGGACUGAGACACGGCCCAGACUCCUACGGGAGGCAGCAGUAGGGAAUCUUCCGCAAUGGACGAAAGUCUGACGGAGCAACGCCGCGUGAGUGAAGAAGGUUUUCGGAUCGUAAAGCUCUGUUGUUAGGGAAGAACAAGUACGGAAGUAACUGUCCGUACCUUGACGGUACCUAACCAGAAAGCCACGGCUAACUACGUGCCAGCAGCCGCGGUAAUACGUAGGUGGCAAGCGUUGUCCGGAAUUAUUGGGCGUAAAGCGCGCGCAGGCGGCUUCUUAAGUCUGAUGUGAAAGCCCACGGCUCAACCGUGGAGGGUCAUUGGAGACUGGUAGGCUUGAGUGCAGAAGAGGAGAGCGGAAUUCCACGUGUAGCGGUGAAAUGCGUAGA
rnacentral:rRNA from 1 species